rnacentral:lncRNA from 1 species
CUGGGAUAUUGUUUGAUUGAAGGAUUGAAUUACAUGGUAACUUACCACUGAAGGAUAUUUUAAUAAUUUUUUAUCAAAAUUUUAAAUCUUUUGGAUAGUCAUGAUACGUUGCUAAAUAUUAAUCUUGACUUGUAAACUCAUCAAAAUUAAAAGAAUUUAAUUCAUAAAUUAAUUAGAAAGAAUUCUAGUUGAUUGAAACUCUUGAACUAACCUAAUCUAAUCGGAUUAAGAUUACAUCAAGAGUCUAGGUCCACUGCUGGCCAUAUUUAGAACCCAAAGGAUCACACACUUUGAGAUUUGAUCUUGAUCUAAUUUAAUUAUGAUUUAAUAUAAAUUUUAAGAGU